rnacentral:rRNA from 1 species
AACGAACGCUGGCGGCAGGCCUAACACAUGCAAGUCGAGCGAGGACUUCGGUCCUAGCGGCGGACGGGUGAGUAACGCGUGGGAACGUGCCCUUUGCUUCGGAAUAGCCCUGGGAAACUGGGAGUAAUACCGGAUGAGCCCUUUGGGGGAAAGAUUUAUCGGCGAAGGAUCGGCCCGCGUUGGAUUAGGUAGUUGGUGGGGUAAUGGCCUACCAAGCCGACGAUCCAUAGCUGGUUUGAGAGGAUGAUCAGCCACACUGGGACUGAGACACGGCCCAGACUCCUACGGGAGGCAGGAGUGGGGAAUCUUAGACAAUGGGGGAAACCCUGAUCUAGCCAUGCCGCGUGAGCGAUGAAGGCCUUAGGGUUGUAAAGCUCUUUCAGCUGGGAAGAUAAUGACGGUACCAGCAGAAGAAGCCCCGGCUAACUCCGUG